CCUACGGGCGGCAGCAGUGAGGAAUAUUGGUCAAUGGACGCAAGUCUGAACCAGCCAUGCAGCGUGCAGGAAGACGGCUCUAUGAGUUGUAAACUGCUUUUGUACAGGGGUAAACUCAGAUACGUGUAUCUUUCUGAAUGUAUCUUACGAAUAAGGAUCGGCUAACUCCGUGCCAGCAGCCGCGGUAAUACGGAGGAUUCAAGCGUUAUCCGGAUUUAUUGGGUUUAAAGGGUGCGUAGGCGGUCGGAUAAGUUAGAGGUGAAAGCCAGAGGCUCAACUUCGGAAUUGCCAUUGAUACUGGUAGGCUAGAGAGUAGUUGCGGUAGGCGGAAUGUAUGGUGUAGCGGUGAAAUGCUUAGAGAUCAUAAAGAACACCGAUUGCGAAGGCAGCUUACUAAGCUACGUCUGACGUUGAGGCACGAAAGCGUGGGGAGCAAACAGGAUUAGAUACCCGGGUAGUC
rnacentral:rRNA from 1 species